GUCAGUUAAAUGAAAAGAAAAAAGUAUUUCACAGAACAGAAAUAAAAAUCUAAGAUAAAUGACAAGGGACUUAAUGUGGAAAUUUCCAGAGCAUUGUCAGAAUGCUAGCUUUUCCCCCUGUACAAUACCUUAGUAUUUAUCUUUGUGCAUUUUAAAAUGCUUCUGGAAAAAAAUCACUCUAUGGCCAUCUAUUGGACAGUUGGCUUCUAAAAGAUAGAGACAAUGUUCUAUCUUUAUCAUAUGUAUAUCAUAUUAAGAUGGCCUUAUUGGAAGAUGCCAAUACCUCGGAAGCACAUAUGCCAUAAAUAAUAUGUCUGGCACACAAAAGAACACAUUAUCACCUUUUGAUUACAUUAACAGAGAGGUGUAUGACUGAAGUGUAGGAAGAUACAUAGGGAAGAAAGUGAAAGGGAAAUUAAGCUGAAAAAGUAGGCUGUCAGAUCAUGAAAGGCCUUGAAUACCAGGUUAAUAAGGACUUUGCUCACGAGUAGUCUGGAAGUAGUGUUAAAAUGCGUUUAGAGGAGAAAGAGAAUUAAGUUAGGAAAAUCUCAGUGGCUUUUGGAAUAGUCAGGGGAGUUAAUGAGGAUCUGAAGAAAUUAGUAGCAGUAAGACUAGAGAACAAAGAAUGCAGGCAAGCAUUGAGAAAUGUGAAGUUAGAGUUCAGGAGAGAAGCCAGUACAGGGGAUACAAUACUUAAUAAUAAAGCAAUCCUGUAAAUUACAUAUUACAAAGUAUUUUCAUUUGAGAGUCCUAGGCACAGAAGUGACAGCUGAAGAAAUGAGAUCUGCAAAAGAGAGAAGCAUACCAAAGAUAAAUACUUGGAGGAAUUAUCUACACGUGGAGAUGAGGAGGAGGAAAGUGCCAGAGAAAAUGACAGAGAAGAAAGACACACUGUUGAUCAAGGAAGUCAAGGAAAGAGAGAAUGACAAGGGCUCUCUCAAAGAAUAGUAAUCUCUGGUAAGAACCAUACCUAUCUUCUUCAACAUCGUAUCUGCAGCACCUAGCAUACGUAUGGCACACGGCAGGAUAUUUGCUAGGAAGUUGGGUGCAACUCUCUUCUGUGAAGAGAAUGAACUGAAAUCAGAACUCUUAAUGACUUAAUUUCACUCCUACGACCAGAGCCCGUCCUUUCCUCUUUCAAAACAGGCAAAGCCUAAGCACAGAAAAGCUUCCACCAGCAUUUCACCAAAGUCUUAAUAUAAGAAAGGACCCAGGGCCCAGACUUCUUUUGAGUGAAAGGAUGUAAUUUUCCAAGAAGGUAGUUGGUUACACCAAAAACUAAAGGGGCCUUGAGGAGGAAGGUUUGGGAGAGAUAGAAGAGAGAGCAAGAGAGAAGGAAAUCCUCCUCCCAAUGAAGACUGUGAAGCUUUAAGUGAAUUUUAAGUGAAUAAAUGAAUUUUAAGAUUUCAGUCCUAGUUCUUCCAUUAACUAGCUAUCUGACUUUGGACAAGCUGCAACUUCUCUGAGCCUCAUCCAUAAAAUGAAGAGGCUGAACUGAAUGAUCUAAUCUCUUCUACUAGUAGCUCUAACAUUCCAAGAUAGAGCCUUCAUCUGAAAUUCUGCUGAAAAUGUUAUCUGGACUGCCUAUCCGUAAUCUGAUCAACAUGACUACACAAGAGUAACACAACUGGGUUAAUUGGACCUAGGUUGCAAUAUAUACAUACACUUGAACAUAUUCUUGUAUCUUGCACAUAUCUUGGCAUAUUAAUGUUAGAAUGUAUAU